rnacentral:misc_RNA from 1 species
GAUGAAGAACGUAGCGAAAUGCGAUACGUAGUGUGAAUUGCAGAAUUCCGUGAAUCAUCGAAUCUUUGAACGCACAUUGCGCCCGCCAGUAUUCUGGCGGGCAUGCCUGUUCGAGCGUCAUUUCAACCCUCAAGCCCCCGGGCUUGGUGUUGGGGAUCGGCGUGCCCUCGCGGCGCGCCGUCCCCUAAAUCUAGUGGCGGUCUCGCUGUAGCUUCCUCUGCGUAGUAGCAACACUCGCACUGGAUCGCAGCGCGGCCACGCCGUUAAACCCCCCACUUCUGAAAGUUUGACAUCGGAUCAGGUAGGAAUACCCGCUGAACUUAAGCAUAUCAAUAACGGAGGA